rnacentral:rRNA from 1 species
UACGUAGGGUGCGAGCGUUGUCCGGAAUUAUUGGGCGUAAAGAGCUUGUAGGCGGUUUGUCGCGUCUGCUGUGAAAAUCCGGGGCUCAACCCCGGACUUGCAGUGGGUACGGGCAGACUAGAGUGUGGUAGGGGAGACUGGAAUUCCUGGUGUAGCGGUGAAAUGCGCAGAUAUCAGGAGGAACACCGAUGGCGAAGGCAGGUCUCUGGGCAUUAACUGACGCUGAGGAGCGGAAGCAUGGGGAGCGAACAGG